rnacentral:rRNA from 1 species
AACGAACGCUGGCGGCGUGCCUAAGACAUGCAAGUCGGACGGAAAGGCCCCCUUCGGGGGGCACUCGAGUGGCGCACGGGUGAGUAACGCGUGGGUAAUCUGCCUUAGGGUCUAGGACAACCCCGGGAAACUGGGGCUAAUACUGGAUAAGACCACGAGCUCUUCGGAGCUGGCGGAAACAGAUGGCCUCUCCUUGGAAGCUAUCGCCCUUCGAUGAGCCCGCGUCCCAUUAGCUAGUUGGUGAGGUGACGGCCCACCAAGGCUUUGAUGGGUAGCUGGUCUGAGAGGAUGAUCAGCCACACUGGAACUGAGACACGGUCCAGACUCCUACGGGAGGCAGCAGUCGGGAAUUUUGGGCAAUGGGCGAAAGCCUGACCCAGCAACGCCGCGUGAGGGAUGAAGGCCCUCGGGUCGUAAACCUCUGUCGGGAGGGAAGAAUGGUUGCCGUUCGAACAGGUCGGUAGCCUGAUGGUACCUCCAAAGGAAGCACCGGCUAACUCCGUGCCAGCCGCCGCGGUAAUAC